UCGGACGAGCACGACCGCGUGCGCGGGGGAGAGGGAUAUGAGUUCAUCUGCCCCGUCGCUAACAGCCUACAACUGACCAUCCUCAGGCCGGCGAAAUAAUCAUCCUCCAAGGGCCGGCGAAAUGGUAAUUUUGCCUUCUGAUUUGCGUCGGCUCUACCGCUUUGAGUAAUGCGCAGUGCGGUGCAGCGGUGGCAAGCGCGCCAUUCCGACAGGGGACGAAAGUUAAUAUUAUAGUAGGCUCACAUGUAUGGGCUGAAGAUGCUGACAUUGCCUGGGUUGAUGGAGAGGUCGUUAAGAUCAAUGGCGAAGAGGCCGAGAUCCAAGCAACCAAUGGGAAAAAGGAAAGUUGCGUUGAACAAUUCUGCUCCUUUUUUUUAUAUAGGAAUUCAUUCUGAUAUAAUACUGCUACUUAUAUGUAAGUGUCACAAUUUUAGAUCAUUGCAAAUUUGUCGAAAUUAUAUCCUAAAGAUAUGGAAGCAGCUACCGGUGGAGUUGAUGACAUGACCAAGCUCUCCUAUCUCCAUGAGCCAGGAGUUUUGCAGAAUCUGGCGAUCAGACAUACACUGGAAAUAUUCUCAUUGCUGUCAAUCCUUUCCAAAGGUUGCCGCAUUUAUAUGACCCACAUAUGAUGCAACAGUAUAAGGGGCACCAUUUGGAGAGUUAAGUCCACAUGUUUUCGCUGUCGAAGGUGUCGCAUACAGGUACGCAAACAUAACCAAAAUCAGACCUUGGUUCCAUCGAUACACCGCUCGCAGAUUCUUUCAAUAUAUGCUUAUGAGGUGUUUGAUGGAACUACAACCAGGACAAUGAAGAUGGUGUUGUGUUGCUUUGUACAUGUGAGCAACAUAUUGCAGAAAUGUUUUCUGCACGCGAGGAUAUGGCCCAUUUAUACAAUCAAGCAUCAAUGGUUACAAGAGAAUGGAUGUUGCCAUUUCCGCUCUUGGUUUUGGUCCUCUUAUGUAAGGCUUCGGUGGCAGUCUUUUGUUUCCCUUUUAAUUAGAAUAUUUAAUAUGUAUGAUGUCCAACAUGAACCACUGAAAAUGUACUGGUUUUUUCCUCGCAUCACAUCAUGGUAAAAUAUUUGAAGUUUCUUUUCAUGGUUGAAGCAUAGCUUGAAUCUGCUAGACCAUUGCAGUUUUAUAAGGGAAAGGAUUUCUAUUACAAAAUAUUAAUUCUUGAGUUACAAGUGUAUAUCAUUUCCUAAGACUGAAUUUUUUAUAUGUUUUUGGGUCCUGGAAAUUGAUUGAUUGAGCUUCCUGUAAUUUUGCAUUUGUUGCAGUCUCCCAGUACUAAUUAGCUACUAUAAAAUUAUAUUGCUCAUAAUAAGAAGAAAAAUAUCCGAACCUUCUAUUUGUUAGGGCUGAUUUUAAAACUUAGAUAAGAUGUCUACACCCCAAUAUAUACAAAGAACAAUUCACGCUACAUGGGAGCUCUAAUGUUUUGCAGCCACUUAUUAUUUCUUCUUUGAGAUUUGUUUAAUUCUAAUAAUUUAUUUGGUAGGGCUGUACAAGAGUUGUCUGGUAUGCAUAGCUGCACUAAUUCUUGACAAGCCAAGUUAGUUAUUCUGUUGUUUUCCCCAUCUGAUGGAUUAAUACUGGAAAAAUCAUGCCCCAUUUGACUGAUCUGAAGCAUCUGCAGAUCCAUGAAUAUGCCUUCCUUGCUUUUACUGCUCGUGUAAGUAUUUGUGCUUCUGUAUCUGAAUAGCGCUGUCUAUGUUUCAGAAUUAUCUUGCAAAAUAUGGUAGGUACGAUGGCAGGGUUUCGAUUUGAGUUUCUCUAAAUUUGAAAUGCUAGGAAUAAUAUUGUACCAACAGCUUUCUUCUCGGAAUUACUUUGUAUUAUUCUUUACGAAAAGAGUUCACGAAAUAGGUUAAAGAAUGGACGUUACGACUUCAGUGGCUUUCUUUGCUGUAAUUAGUUUGAAUUAUUUUUUAUGGAUAGAGUUCAGGAAAUAGGUUAAUGAUAGUCUUCCCUUGGCAUGAACCAAUCAAGAUGGUAGUUAAAAGUUAAAAGAGUGUCCAGAUAAAUAAAAGGGCCUUCUUGUAUGAAUUAGUUGGUCUUUUGAUGAGAGGUUUAUGAAUGUGAUGCCUACUAGAAUUGUAAAAGAGACAUGAUAAAGGCUUCACAGUUCACUGGUAUUUCUUUCUGUUACACUCAAGUGAAAUCUGACAUGGGACUAUUAUUCUUGGUUGAAGGCGCUAUUUUUGGUUGACAAUUAUUUUUCGUCCGGAUGAACUAGGUUCUGAGCAGCGUGUACUAGAAAGCAUGAUCUGGGUUUAAUGUAUUGUCUACUCUGUGUAAGAAAUUUAACUUGAUGAAUAUGAGUGAUGUCUUUUUCUUGCUUAUAUAUGUUUGUUUUUUAAUACAACACUAUUACCAUAAGAAGGUAGCCUCAUUAAUAUUGUCAUUUAUGUGAAACAAAUCUACAUGUAUUGUGGUAGGAGUAUAAAAGAGAGACAUAUGUUCACCUCACCAUGCUCUCUAGACGGAAUCAUCACAAAGAUUGCAGAAGCUGAUAGGACACUCGGGUUGGAUCUAUUUUGGUUAGAGGACAAAUGAUACAAGCAUAUCAGAUAUAGUCUCCCAUGAUACAUGUUAAUUCGAUUUUCCUUUUUAUGAUGGAUUCCGGGGCUGAAUUACCGCUGAGUGGUUAGUGAUGGGGUUGGUUUUCUUGAUGUUAUGCCUUUUUGUUUGGUACAAAUUUAGUUCCGAAAUGCUAAUUGGUUAUAAACUAAAUCAUUGUUUCCUCAUCAUAAAGGAACAACAUUUUGGUUCUCCGUGCAAUCCAGCGAUUGCUCUUUAGGCUUAUUGAGAAGAGUUGAGGCCUAUUGCCAUGCUGCCCAAGAUUACAGACCAAGAUACCGGUAUAGGCUACACAGAGCAGUUUUUGCCCUCUACCCUUAACUUGACCUAAAAUUUGUGAACUAAUCCAUGGGGAGUACUUGAGAAAAAUCUAUAUUCAAAUUAGUGAAGCACCAAUAUGGAUUGUAAUUGUUUACUGUAUGAGUAGCAUUUUGCUAAGUAGUAUUUGGCAAUUGCCUAAAAUUAUCUUUAGUUUGUAUUGUUAGUUCAUGGAACUUUGCGGCAAGCUAAUUCUGUCCCACCAUGGAAGCUCACUUCCAUGAGGAAAUUGUUUGAUAUUCAAUGAUGUGCCCUUUCCCAAAAACCUUAAUCGUGAAUCUAGAAAAUAACCUUAAUUGGUGUUCCUCCACACAGUUGUAAACUAAGCGGUAUGAUUGGAUGGUAUUUGAUGUUGAAUGCUACUCCAAAGAAAGGCAUCUCAUAUGUUUGGAGGAGUAUUUUCUCAAAGGCCUGAAUUUUCUGAAAAUAGGAUUCAUCUGCCGAGUGGGCAAUGGUGAAAACAUAAGCGUCUGAUCAGAUCCAUCGAUUCCUAGAGGGAGCACACUCAAAAUCAAGGCAUGUGAAUCCGUUGGCUAGAAGAUGAGAUGUGGAGCUUUCCUGACAACACUUUGGCCUGAAGAUGCUGAUAUUAUUCUCAAGAUUCAUGUCCAAGAAGACACAGAGGAAAAGAAAUCUUGCUUUUACUGGAAAAAGCUAUGACGCUCUCUCUCUUUCCCAAUAAGGUGUUCAGCCUACCCCUAAGAAUGAAGCUUUUCAGGAAAGAAAGGAAUGCUGGCAUGAUGCAAAAAUAAAAUAGCUCACACACCAAGCACGCAAGUGUUGUUUCAGUAUUAACAUAUUUCAGAUCUCACCAUAACUUCUUCCCAGCUCAUGUGUGUCUUUUAAAGCAAUAUCGCCAAAAUUCAUUGAACCAAUUGGAUAAUUCUAUUACUGUAGUACCAGUCUGCACUCCCCAUUGCUAAAUUCGCAUAGUAGAAACCUUUGGCACGUUGUGUUUUGUCAUCAAUCCAAGAAAAAAGGCCCCGAUGUCUAAGAUUCUGUACUGUCAUUUAAAUUAUAUACUUCGUGAAGUUUAGCUGAUCAGGAUUAUGAAUGGCAUGCUUUAAUGAAAUUGUUCAUUCUGUUGUAACUAAUUGUACACACAUUUAUUGCAUCAUGAAUAAAGUCUAUUUUCUGAUA